AUUGAACGCUGGCGGCAUGCCUUACACAUGCAAGUCGAACGGCAGCGCGGACUUCGGUCUGGCGGCGAGUGGCGAACGGGUGAGUAAUACAUCGGAACGUACCCUGUUGUGGGGGAUAACUAGUCGAAAGAUUAGCCAAUACCGCAUACGACCUGAGGGUGAAAGUGGGGGACCGCAAGGCCUCACGCAGCAGGAGCGGCCGAUGUCUGACUAGCUAGUUGGUGGGGUAAAGGCCCACCAAGGCGACGAUCAGUAGCUGGUCUGAGAGGACGAUCAGCCACACUGGGACUGAGACACGGCCCAGACUCCUACGGGAGGCAGCAGUGGGGAAUUUUGGACAAUGGGGGCAACCCUGAUCCAGCAAUGCCGCGUGUGUGAAGAAGGCCUUCGGGUUGUAAAGCGCAUUUGUCCGGAAAGAAAUCGCGCUGGUUAAUACCUGGCGUGGAUGACGGUACCGGAAGAAUAAGCACCGGCUAACUACGUGCCAGCCGCCGCGGUAA
rnacentral:rRNA from 1 species